AUUGAACGCUGGCGGCAGGCCUAACACAUGCAAGUCGAAUGGUAACAGGAAACAGCUUGCUGUUUCGCUGACGAGUGGCGGACGGGUGAGUAAUGUCUGGGAAACUGCCUGAUGGAGGGGGAUAACUACUGGAAACGGUAGCUAAUACCGCAUAACGUCGCAAGACCAAAGAGGGGGACCUUCGGGCCUCUUGCCAUCAGAUGUGCCCAGAUGGGAUUAGCUAGUAGGUGGGGUAACGGCUCACCUAGGCGACGAUCCCUAGCUGGUCUGAGAGGAUGACCAGCCACACUGGAACUGAGACACGGUCCAGACUCCUACGGGAGGCAGCAGUGGGGAAUAUUGCACAAUGGGCGCAAGCCUGAUGCAGCCAUGCCGCGUGUAUGAAGAAGGCCUUCGGGUUGUAAAGUACUUUCAGCGGGGAGGAGGGGAGUAAAGUUAAUACCUUUGCUCAUUGACGUUACCCGCAGAAGAAGCACCGGCUAACUCCGUG
rnacentral:rRNA from 1 species